AAGCGGAGGGGGCUUAGUGGUGGGGUGACUGCGUACCUUUUGUAUAAUGGGUCAGCGACUUAUAUUCUGUAGCAAGGUUAACCGCAUAGGGGAGCCGGAGGGAAACCGAGUCUUAAUUGGGCGUUAAGUUGCAGGGUAUAGACCCGAAACCCGGUGAUCUAGCCAUGGGCAGGUUGAAGGUUGGGUAACACUAACUGGAGGACCGAACCGACUAAUGUUGAAAAAUUAGCGGAUGACCUGUGGCUGGGGGUGAAAGGCCAAUCAAACCGGGAGAUAGCUGGUUCUCCCCGAAAGCUAUUUAGGUAGCGCCUCGUGAAUUCAUCUCCGGGGGUAGAGCACUGUUUCGGCCAGGGGGCCAUCCCGGCUUACCAAUCCGAUGCAAACUGCGAAUACCGGAGAAUGUUAUCACGGGAGACACACGGCGGGUGCUAACGUCCGUCGUGAAGAGGGAAACAACCCAGACCGCCAGCUAAGGUCCCAAAGUCAUGGUUAAGUGGGAAACGAUGUGGGAAGGCCCAGACAGCCAGGAUGUUGGCUUAGAAGCAGCCAUCAUUUAAAGAAAGCGUAAUAGCUCACUGGUCGAGUCGGCCUGCGCGGAAGAUGUAACGGGGCUAAACCAU
rnacentral:rRNA from 1 species